rnacentral:lncRNA from 1 species
ACACAAACUUGUCCUUUGUGCACAAAUUUGUUUGAGAAUCGUGGCCAUUUCGACUGCAUUUGCUGCCACAUGGACGAUUGUCAACGCCAAGGAAACUGUUGUGGUUUUCGGCUUGCAAUUCGAUGCUCGAUAUACCUAUUCCUCUGCCUUCAAGUAAGAUGAACUCAUCGUGAUUAUAACACAAAAUCCAAAUUUUUCAUGUGCUAAAUCAGUAAAUCCUCUCUUUUUUUCAGGUUCUUCGCGUUUGCAAAUGCCAUCGCAUGUGCUUUCACUUCGCUUUCCUUGAUGUUCGUGCUCUUAAUCUUCCGCCAUGGCCGCUUUACACCUUCGAACUUCUUCUUCCUGUUCCUACACGAUUUGGUAAUGUGGGGUUUCAUGCACGUGUAUAGAAAACCAACAGCUUUUGUUUGAUAAUAAUACUGUGUGUUGCUGGG